rnacentral:rRNA from 1 species
GACGAACGCUGGCGGCGUGCUUAACACAUGCAAGUUGAACGGGGCAUAUUUGAAGGGUAACCGGAGGGUAUGUCUAGUGGCGAACGGGUGAGUAAUGCAUGAGAACGUAUCCUCAAGAGGGGGACAACAUUGGGAAACCGAUGCUAAUACCCCAUAAGCCGGGAGGUAAAAGGAGCAAUCCGCUUGAGGAGCGGUUCAUGUCCUAUCAGCUAGUUGGUGAGGUAACGGCUCACCAAGGCGAAGACGGGUAGCCGGCCUGAGAGGGUGAACGGCCACACUGGAACUGAGAGACGGUCCAGACUCCUACGGGAGGCAGCAGUGGGGAAUAUUGGGCAAUGGGGGAAACCCUGACCCAGCGACGCCGCGUGAGGGAAGAAGGCCUUAGGGUCGUAACCUCUGUUGUGUGGAGAAGAGCGUGACGGUACCACACGAGGAAGUCCCGGCUAACUACGUGCCAGCAGCCGCGGUAAAAGUCGACGUCG